GUCUACAGCCAUACCACCCUGAAUGUGCCUUAUCUCAUAAAGCUGAGCAGGGUCAGGCCUGGUUAGUACUUGGAUGGGAGAAGUUGGAAAAUCAAAUGCUAGGGAAA
rnacentral:rRNA from 1 species